rnacentral:lncRNA from 10 species
CAUGCUCCUCCUUUUAGCCAGUUUUAUCAUGGUGGCCCACAGCUCCACAUCAUGGUUAUGACCUAGAUUGGCUGGUUUUCUAUAUCUAAUCAUUAUUUUGAGGAUUUAGAAAAGAUAUUUAUUCCUCAUGGAUUAAUCACAGAUGGGACAAAAUGGCUUGUUCUUGAAAUUCUGUGGAGGUAGGAGGCAAUCAGAUUGCAGCCCUCUGCACAUGCCAAGAGACCAUAAAUUCUUUGCUGAUUUGCUGAAUAGCAAAGCACUUAGCAGAAAUAAGGACAUAUCCAUUCUAUGACUGCAGAUUUUAUCAGAUCAAACAGUUACUGUAAUGGCCAGUCAAUUCGGGCAGAAAAGUAAUUUAGGAAGAUGAUUUUACAACUUUAACUGGAAAGAAUAUCAGAAGAAUGUCUUGAUUGAAAAAGAUACAAUUUACCCUGACAAAACAAUGCAAACCUGGCCUUCCUUGACCAAGCAGUAUAAUCCAAAGAUGAUCAACAUUGCCAGAUGGAUAUGCACCAGAACUUUUGGGUACAGACCAGACAGAGAUGGAUGUGAAAUUCCAGACCAAUUUGUUGUAGGAUAUGUCCUUGACUAUAAUUAAUACUUUAAGGAUUUGAAUCAUGUUUGUGUCAUUAGUAAAAUUGGAAAAGCAAAAUACAA